GCAAAUGCUUCCUUGCAGUGAAAGGGAAAGUGUCUUGUUUCUGCAGUUUCCUGGCAUUGUGACCAUCAGGAGAUGGCCUCCAACCGCCCAGUUCGUUUUCCUCACCUAUGUGCUUGGAGUGGCCUGGCUGGGUGUGUUUGGUUUCUCAGCGGUGCCCGUGUUUAUGUUCUACAACAUAUGGUCAACUUGUGAAGUCAUCAAGUCACCGCAGACCAACGGGACCACGGGUGUGGAGCAGAUCUGUGUGGAUAUCCGACAAUACGGUAUCAUUCCUUGGAAUGCUUUCCCGGGAAAAAUAUGUGGCUCUGCUCUGGAGAACAUCUGCAACACAAACGAGUUCUACAUGUCCUAUCACCUGUUCAUUGUGGCCUGUGCAGGAGCUGGUGCCACCGUCAUUGCCCUGAUCCACUUCCUCAUGAUACUGUCUUCUAACUGGGCUUACUUAAAGGAUGCGAGCAAAAUGCAGGCUUACCAGGAUAUCAAAGCAAAGGAAGAACAGGAACUGCAAGAUAUCCAGUCUCGGUCAAAAGAACAACUCAAUUCUUACACAUAAAUGUUUGCCAGAGUGUUUCGGCCGACG
rnacentral:sRNA from 1 species